GACGUAGGGCGCGAGCGUUGUCCGGAUUUAUUGGGCGUAAAGAGCUCGUAGGCGGCUUGUUGCGUCGACCGUGAAAACCCGUGGCUUAACUGCGGGCUUGCGGUCGAUACGGGCGGGCUGGAGUUCGGUAGGGGAGACUGGAAUUCCUGGUGUAGCGGUGAAAUGCGCAGAUAUCGGGAAGAACACCCGUGGCGAAGGCGGCUCUCUGGGACGGUACUGACGCUGAGACGCGAAAGCGUGGGGAGCGAACAGG
rnacentral:rRNA from 1 species